rnacentral:misc_RNA from 1 species
GGAAAGGUCAGUCGAGAAAUGCCUGUGGCAACAACAAUAUCCUGUCACCACCACUGCUGCCACAAGCUAAACCAUCGUAUCUCUGCCUCUCUGGUCGCUAUCAAGAGAACCAUGGUCACCGCCGCCACCAGUAGCAGCAGUAAUGCAGGUUCCUACACCACGAUCAAAGAGACAGUCACUUUCGAAAGAGAAAUAAAAAAGAGCAAAUUUAUCGCCAUCGCUGGCCCUAUCUCCGACGAACAAUCCGCUUUCUCCUUCCUUUCUCAGGUUAGGGAUCCGCGCGCCACUCAUAAUUGCUGGGCUUAUAAGGUUGCAGAUCAAUUUCGGUCUAAUGAUGAUGGGGAACCGUCAGGCACAGCUGGAAAACCAAUUCAAUCUGCUAUUGAUUCUUCUGGGAUUGAUAGAGUGAUGGUCGUGGUGAUCAGGUAUUUUGGAGGUAUCAAAUUAGGCACCGGAGGAUUGGUUAGGGCUUACGGAGGAGUUGCAUCAGAAUGCUUGAGAAAUGCUACAACUUGUCUCAUAAAAUCUAAGGUAUUUUCUUACCUAAAACUCUGUCUUGAAGAUCCACUUUAUUUGACAGUUGGUCUAGAUGAUUUCAUAAUCUUUAUAGGGAAAAUUAUCUUGUAUUGGAUAUUGAAUUUGGAUUUUGUAGGUCCCAAUGGGCGUGGAAGUUCCCUUCGAUCUUAUAGGAGUUUUGCAUCAUCAGGUAGCAUGAUAUGAUUGUUAUAGUUUUUUUUUUUUUGGCACAUAACAGCACUGAUGCUACCAGUUAGAAAAGAAAGCGGGAAUUUCGUUUAUAGAGAUGCAUUGAUCCAUAUCUAGUAGUUUUAUCAGUGUGUAAAUGGUAUUAUUACACCUCCCAUAAGCAGCUAAUGUCUUUCUGUUCAAUUAGUUGGUCUGUUCCAACUGUGCUAAAUGAAAUUUGAUCAUUACAUCAACUAUGCAGUCCAGCAGGUGCCAGCAUCAGGGCUGGGCUGCACAAUUUUUUGGCAAAUUAGGAACCCGCUAAUACUGAUAGAAAUAAGUUGCUUCAUUUCUUCAUCCCUGAAUACCAGUUUUUGCCACAUUUGCUGUUGUUGUUAUUGGACUUCUUCCCCUCUUUCCUUUUCUUUUUUCAUUUUCCCUAAUGAAAAGGGUACCUUGUGAUAUUUGGCAAAGUGAAUUUGAUUUUUGCCACUAUGCCUGUGUUCUUAUCUAGUGCUCGGUUGAUACAGUUACAAUCCUUUCAAGUUGAGAACAUCAGGCAGGAUUACGAGACUGGUAAAGACGGCAUAGUCAUGAUUUCUUUCAUCGUUGACUUUGACCAGGUUGAGAAAUUGGAGGAUGCUAUCAAAGCUAAUUGUUGUCGAGAACUUGUAUUUUAUAAGAGGUGAGACAGACUUAUGUUAUCCGCGCAUUGUAGAAAUUUGUCGAAUGUAUGAUCCCACCAUGAAUUGGACUGUAUCAGGAGUGCUUGUGUAUUCCUUUUACCCUGCUUUGAAACCAGUCAUGUGCAAUGUAUAGGACCUGUUUAGAUGACAGUUUUUUGGUACAAUUAAUUGUAGACGGCUGUAGAUGAUAAUAUUGAAUUAGUCCUAAAGAUGUGGCAGUUAACCUUGAUACUCAAGGGUAUAUAUUUUAUUUAUAAGUUAUUUAUGCCGUUAAUCAUUUGAUGAACUUUGUUAUUAGUAGGGGAAUCUAUAGUAAAACCCUAAAGUCUAAACCACUCGUUGUACAGAACCAAGUUGUAUAUCGGCAUUUUUGUUUGGUUUGGCCCUCAAAAAAGUCCAAUUUGAUUUUAGC